CCUACGGGAGGCAGCAGUGGGGAAUUUUGGACAAUGGGGGCAACCCUGAUCCAGCCAUUCCGCGUGAGUGAAGAAGGCCUUCGGGUUGUAAAGCUCUUUCGCGAGGGAAGAAAACUUAUGAUCUAAUAAAUCAUGAGGUUGACGGUACCUUGAUAAGAAGCACCGGCUAACUACGUGCCAGCAGCCGCGGUAAUACGUAGGGUGCGAGCGUUAAUCGGAAUUACUGGGCGUAAAGCGUGCGCAGGCGGUUUUGUAAGUCGGAUGUGAAAUCCCCGGGCUCAACCUGGGAACUGCGUUCGAAACUGCAAGGCUAGAGUGUGUCAGAGGGGGGUAGAAUUCCACGUGUAGCAGUGAAAUGCGUAGAGAUGUGGAGGAAUACCAAUGGCGAAGGCAGCCCCCUGGGAUAACACUGACGCUCAUGCACGAAAGCGUGGGGAGCAAACAGGAUUAGAUACCCUGGUAGUCCACGCCCUAAACGAUGUCAACUAGUUGUUGGUAGAGUAAAAUCUAUGAGUAACGUAGCUAACGCGUGAAGUUGACCGCCUGGGGAGUACGGUCGCAAGAUUAAAACNCAAAGGAAUUGACCGGNUGAGACGUGCGACGACGACGACGAGGGAGAGG
rnacentral:rRNA from 1 species